rnacentral:rRNA from 1 species
CUACAGGCCUAACACAUGCAAGUCGAGGGGAAACGGCAGCUUAGCUUGCUAAGCUGGACGUCGACCGGCGCACGGGUGAGUAACGCGUAUCCAACCUGCCCCACGGAGAGGGAUAACCCGCGGAAACGCGGCCUAAUACCUCAUGGUCUCCGAGUUUGCCAUCAACCUUGGAGUAAAGAUUCAUUGCCGUGGGAUGGGGAUGCGUCUGAUUAGCUUGUUGGCGGGGCAACGGCCCACCAAGGCAACGAUCAGUAGGGGUUCUGAGAGGAAAGCCCCCCACAUUGGAACUGAGACACGGUCCAAACUCCUACGGGAGGCAGCAGUGAGGAAUAUUGGUCAAUGGGCGAGAGCCUGAACCAGCCAAGUAGCGUGCAGGAAGACGGCCCUAUGGGUUGUAAACUGCUUUUAUGCGGGGAUAAAGGGGGCGACGUGUCGCCCUUUGCAGGUACCGCAUGAAUAAGGACCGGCUAAUUCCGUGCCAGCAGCCGCGGUAAUACGGAAGGUCCGGGCGUUAUCCGGAUUUAUUGGGUUUAAAGGGAGCGCAGGCCGGGUAUUAAGCGUGUUGUGAAAUGUAGGCGCCCAACGUCUGCACCGCAGCGCGAACUGGUGCCCUUGAGUACGCACGACGUUGGCGGAAUUCGCCGUGUAGCGGUGGAAUGCUUAGAUAUGGCGAAGAACUCCGAUUGCGAAGGCAGCUGACGGGAGCGCUACUGACGCUCAUGCUCGAAAGCGCGGGUAUCGAACAGGAUUAGAUACCCUGGUAGUCCGCGCGGUAAACGAUGGAUGCCCGCUAUUUGCGCAUUAGCGCAAGUGGCCAAGUGAAAACGUUAAGCAUCCCACCUGGGGAGUACGCCGGCAACGGUGAAACUCAAAGGAAUUGACGGGGGCCCGCACAAGCGGAGGAACAUGUGGUUUAAUUCGAUGAUACGCGAGGAACCUUACCCGGGCUUGAAUUGCAGAGGAAAGAUCCAGAGAUGGUGAUGCCCUUCGGGGCCUCUGUGAAGGUGCUGCAUGGUUGUCGUCAGCUCGUGCCGUGAGGUGUCGGCUUAAGUGCCAUAACGAGCGCAACCCCUCUCCAUAGUUGCCAUCAGGUAAUGCUGGGCACUCAGUGGACACUGCCACCGUAAGGUGCGAGGAAGGUGGGG